rnacentral:rRNA from 1 species
CCUACGGGUGGCAGCAGUGGGGAAUAUUGCACAAUGGGGGAAACCCUGAUGCAGCGACGCCGCGUGAGUGAAGAAGUAUCUCGGUACGUAAAGCUCUAUCAGCAGGGAAGAAAAAGACGGUACCUGACUAAGCAGCCCCGGCUAACUACGUGCCAGCAGCCGCGGUAAUACGUAGGGGGCAAGCGUUAUCCGGAUUUACUGGGUGAAAAGCGAGCGGAGGCGGGAGCACAAGUCUGGAGUGAAAUCCCGGGGCUUAACCCAGGAGCUGCAUUGGAAACUGUGCGGCUGGAGUGCAGGAGGGGUAAGUGGAAUUCCUAGUGUAGCGGUGAAAUGCGUAGAUAUUAGGAGGAACACCGGUGGCGAAGGCGGCUUACUGGACUGUAACUGACGUUGAGGCUCGAAAGCGUGGGGAGCAAACAGGAUUAGAUACCCCGGUAGUC